UGGCAUCACCACAAACAACCCCCUUUACCUCUCUCCUAUCUUCCGGUUCGAUUUGAUGAAUUCAAAAACCCUAAUCCUAUUAUCAAUUGAAGACGGCUUCAAGGUAACUUGCAAUCGAACUUGAUUUUAGGUAACUUUCAACUUCUUUCAAUUGGUUAUCGUAUGAUACUCGUGGGUUUGUCGAAAACCCUAAUCGGUUUUCUGAGCGAUCUGAUAAAGGUAAAUCCAAAACCUACAUAUGUGUUUUUUUAAGGUUUUAUGAUCUUCAUUAUUCUGGAUUUGGAUUCAUCAGAUCUGGUUUUAAGGUUUUAAGCGAUUCUUUCAACCAGUGCAAAAAGAUGGGUCCUUCAAGAAACCCAACCUCUCUUCUUCUUCUUCACCAACACCAGCAGUUGAUGGUGAAACAAAAACACCAGCAGUUGUUGAAGAUGAGGAGAAUAAAUCGCAAAAGAAAGAACCCACAAAGUUGUUAACUUGGAAUGCCAACAGCUUUCUUCUUCGUGUUAAAAACAAUUGGCCUGAGUUCGCCAAGUUCAUCGAUGACAUUGACCCUGAUGUUAUCGCCAUACAGGAGGAAUCUAUAUCUCUGAAGCUUUACACUACCAGACUUGGAGUAAAGCUUUGUUUUUGAAGUGUUAUGCUCUUUAUUUGGAGGAAUUGAAACCGGAUCUAUUACUGAAAGAUACGACGAGUUUCGUUGUGGGAAGACUCAACUUUGUCACACUCUAUGCAUAACUUGCCAAUGCGUAACUUGCCAAGUGGUGGUGAAGGGAAGGCCGCAAAGACUCUUACAGAUAGCCGACAGGUUUGGGUUGAAUGGUAAUGAUGUAUUAAAGAAUGUAGCAUAUGCAAGAGCUUACAACACAGAUCAUCAGUCAAGGCUGCUGCUUGAAGCGGCUUCCAUGAUGGUUGAAACCAGGAAGGCCGUCGAGUGCACGUGAUUGAACGGGACUUAACUGAACCAGAUCGAAUUGUGGGUGAACUUCUACAGCCAGGUGGCUAUCUAAAAUUGAUCGAGUUGGGUCUUGAAGAUUGUGUGGAUGGAACUGAAGCUCAACAAGUUUUCGGUUAUGCCAUUUACAUGGAUGGCCAAAACA